rnacentral:lncRNA from 1 species
CCUGGGAAAAACAAGGGGCCAUGUAGCAAGUUUUCAACGUGUCAAGGUUUACAGCUUCUGAUUAAACAUUUUGCGACGUGUAAGAGAAGGGUGAAUGGAGGAUGUCUACGAUGCAAAAGAAUGUGGCAACUCCUGAGGUUACACUCCUCAAUUUGUGAACAACCUGAUGUAUGCAGGGUUCCUCUGUGCAGGUAAUAGAAGUCUUCAUAAUUGACUGUCUCCCACUAUAUGGUUCGUGUUCAUUUAUCUAUAAAGCGGGUCCCAUAUUAAGUGUUCUGUCUCCUUUAGCUAUCCCAACAUGUUUGCUGUGCUAAAGUUGGAUCGAAUUUGGUUUGAAAAACUGACAAAGCAAUUGCUAGCUGUUUGUGGGAUCCGCUCUCGUCCCUGUUUUGUUUUAGGUAUUUGAUUUCAUGAAUUCAACUGUCAGCUAAGGGUGGAUUCUAAUAGAUAUGGCAUUUAUCUUCGUGAAAUAGAUAAUAGGAUUGAGUAGAAAGAAACGUGAUUGAGCCAGCGACUUGUACGCUUCCUUGGAAGAUUGAAUAAGCUGACAUCUAGAUAUUCACCGACUUCGUUUUGACAUUUCGUUUAACCGUGUUGCUAAUUAGCUUGAUGGAAAUUAGAUGUUUAAUGAAUAAUUCCAUAAUUUCUUGUCACUUUCAUCUAAAAAUUUCCUCUGAAAUGUUAUUAAUAUGUCUUUUAAGUCCGGCAGUAAAUUGGACAUUGAUUUUUCUCCUGCGUUGUUCUCUUAGAACUUUCGGUAAUCGCGUGUUGGUUGCUGCUUGAUGGCGCUUUAUAACUUGACCAGUUUAUGUGCAUCUAGAAACAUUAUUGUUGUCCAUCAUUUGUUUACCAGGCAAAAAGACGUGGCCCACAUGCAUACUGAGCUAAUUUCAAUUAGUAUAUGCAUCAUAUAGUCACUGUUUCUGAGUAUCUAUCUAUUUCAGUUUGAUGUUUAACCAAGUAGCAAAACUUCAUUGUAUUACAGGCAAUUCAAAUUGAAGGCACAGCAAGAGAAGAAAGGUGAAGAUGCGAGAUGGAAAUUACUGGUGAGAAAGGUAAUUUCUGCGAAAGCAUUAUCUUCCUUGUCCCUGCCGAAGAGGAAGAGAGAAGAGGAACCAAGGCUGAACCUAAGCCAUCCUGGAAUGAGAAGCUUUACGCUAUGAGAUAAAAUGUUGAAUAUUCAAAAGAAGGACAAGAGUGUUUAGAUUUGGUCCAGUCCAGACGGCAAAUAUUGCAAGUGAUGGCAAUUUUGUAAAUUUACCCGCUCAACACCCUUUUCUUUGUUUGGCAGCGAAAAGUGUAAGUAGAUGGGAUGAUCUUUAAUCAUGGGGUCAAAUAUCUCUCCUGUAUGAAAGCUGCUGUCU